AGCAGCCGCGGUAAUACGGAGGGUGCAAGCGUUAAUCGGAAUUACUGGGCGUAAAGCGCACGCAGGCGGUCUGUCAAGUCGGAUGGGAAAUCCCCGGGCUCAACCUGGGAACUGCAUUCGAAACUGGCAGGCUAGAGUCUUGUAGAGGGGGGUAGAAUUCCAGGUGUAGCGGUGAAAUGCGUAGAGAUCUGGAGGAAUACCGGUGGCGAAGGCGGCCCCCUGGACAAAGACUGACGCUCAGGUGCGAAAGCGUGGGGAGCAAACAGGAUUAGAUACCCUG
rnacentral:rRNA from 1 species